CGUGGGGUGCGAGCGUUAAUCGGAAUUACUGGGCGUAAAGCGUGCGCAGGCGGUUUUGUAAGACAGAUGUGAAAUCCCCGGGCUCAACCUGGGACCUGCAUUUGUGACUGCAAGGCUAGAGUACGGUAGAGGGGGAUGGAAUUCCGCGUGUAGCAGUGAAAUGCGUAGAUAUGCGGAGGAACACCGACGGCGAAGGCAAUCCCCUGGACCUGUACUGACGCUCAUGCACGAAAGCGUGGGGAGCAAACAGGAUUAGAUACCCUGGUAGUCCACGCCCUAAACGAUGUCAACUGGUUGUUGGGUCUUUACUGACUCAGUAACGAAGCUAACGCGUGAAGUUGACCGCCUGGGGAGUACGGCCGCAAGGUUG
rnacentral:rRNA from 1 species